rnacentral:lncRNA from 1 species
AACCUUCCAAAGUUAUGGAGAACCUUCCAAAGUUGGGGAGAACCUUCCAAAGUUGGGGUUUGGUCAUGGAAACCAUGGAGAGCCCACCAAAGUUGGACUUUUGGGACGAGGAACCCUGAAAAUUGGGGGUUUGUGGUCAUUGAAAUCAUGGAGAACCUUCCAAAGUUGGGGAGAACCUUCCAAAGUUGGGGUUUGGUCAACAAGGUCAUGGAGAACCUUCCAAAGUUAUGGAGAACCUUCCAAAGUUGGGGUUUGGUCAUUAAAACCAAGGAGAACCCUCCAAAGUUGGACUUUUAGGUCUUUAAAAUUGUGGAAAACUCUUUAAAAUUGGGGAGAACCUUCCAAAGUUGGGGUUU